rnacentral:rRNA from 1 species
CUUAAUUUGACUCAACACGGGAAAUCUCACCAGGCCCGGACACCGGAAGGAUUGACAGAUUAACAGCUCUUUCUUGAUUCGGUGGGUGGUGGUGCAUGGCCGUUCUUAGUUGGUGGAGCGAUUUGUCUGGUUAAUUCCGGUAACGAACGAGACUCUAGCCUGCUAAAUAGGCGUCGUCAUCUAGGUGUGCGUGGCUUCGGUCGCCGCAACUCACUGGCGACGUAUUAAAAUUCUUCUUAGAGGGACCGGCGGCUUCGAGCCGCACGAGAUUGAGCAAUAACAGGUCUGUGAUGCCCUUAGAUGUCCUGGGCCGCACGCGCGCUACACUGAAGGAAUCAGCAUGUUCUCCCUGGCCUAGAGGCCCGGGCAACCCGCUGAAACUCCUUCGUGCUGGGGAUUGGGGUUUGCAAUUAUCCCCCAUAAACGAGGAAUUCCUAGUAAGCGCGAGUCAUAAGCUCGCGUUGAUUACGUCCCUGCCCUUUGUACACACCGCCCGUCGCUACUACCGAUUGAAUGAUUUAGUGAGGUCUUCGGACCG